rnacentral:sRNA from 1 species
GGUUACAUUGCAGGAAGAGAAAUUGGGAAGAGCAGUCAGUCUUGGUGAGGUGUUCAUCCAGACACAUACUAAGUCGGAUGGUACUUAUGUUGAUCGGAAGGCGGAGAAGAUUGCUCUAAUUU